rnacentral:misc_RNA from 1 species
UUUUGAAUGAGAUGUUAUUUACCUAGACUUUUUAUCAAGUGACAACUGUCCAGGUCUUCCCUGAUGCUGGAGUGGAAUCCCUAUUAGACCCAUAACAGGGCAGUUGUUAUAUUAGUAUAUCACUGCAAAUUGCAGCUAAAGUUCACAAACUGAGCACCAAUAACAUCUUUAUCAGUUCAGCACAUUCUGUAACACUCUCAUAUUAAGUAGUACGUACAUUCUACUGUUCCGGUGAC